rnacentral:rRNA from 1 species
GACGAACGCUGGCGGCGUGCCUAAUACAUGCAAGUCGAACGCACAGUUUAUACCGUAGCUUGCUACACCAUAAACUGUGAGUUGCGAACGGGUGAGUAACGCGUAGGUAACCUGCCUGGUAGCGGGGGAUAACUAUUGGAAACGAUAGCUAAUACCGCAUAAUAUUGAUUAUUGCAUGAUAAUUGAUUGAAAGCUGCUAUUGCAUCACUACCAGAUGGACCUGCGUUGUAUUAGCUAGUAGGUGAGGUAACGGCUCACCUAGGCGACGAUACAUAGCCGACCUGGGAGGGGGAUCGGGCACACUGGGACUGGGACACGGCCCAGAAUCCUACGGGAGGCAGCAGGAGGGAAUCUUCGGCAAUGGGCGGAAGGCUGACCGAACAACGCCGCGUGAGUGAAGAAGGUUUUCGGAUCGUAAAGCUCUGUUGUAAGGGAAGAACGGGUGUGAGAGUGGAAAGUUCACGCUGUGACGGUAUCUUACCAGAAAGGGACGGCUAACUACGUG